UAUGGCGGACAGAGUGCUGUAGGUUGGGAGCUGUGUUGACAUUUUUCUCGUUUGUGGAGUAUUUCAUCAAUAUUAGGACAAAUAACAAACAUCCAAGAUGCCUGUACACUUCAAGGGAAAAUCUGAAUAUAAUAUACACUACAAGUGGGUUAACUCUUACAAAAGCAGGAGUUUCCGCCCUUCAGCAGAACAGGCUAAACCAAAAGCAGGCCUUUCUUCAGUAGACCUUGGUUUGAAUUGUGUGCCCUCUGAACCACCGAUUCAGAGGAAGAAGAGGCUGGAUGGACCCACGACAAGCCUUAGCAAUCAUUUCAAUCAGGGUCUCGAGUCCCCUGGGAGUGAGGAUUUUGCCCUCCUGGGUGCAAAUGAUAAGUUUAUGGAAAAUGUGAAAUACAAGGCCAAGUCUCGCGGUGCUUCUCCUCCCAAACAACAGAAACUCGCACAUACCAAGAAAGAAAAAGAAAACAGACAAGAAGUAUCAAAACCUAAACCGGCUCCUGUGGUAAAUACCGAGAUGUACCGAAGGUCUGUAAAAGAGGAUUCAAGACCUUCUAAGGUAGAAUCAAAAUCUAAAACUCAAGAGAGCCCUAAGGUCCCAACUCCUAUGGCCCCUAGGGAAAUGAAGGGUAUGUUGCCCUUACAGCUCAAGAGUGAACUAGAGGCGCCGAAAAUAUCAACAAAGAGCCCGGUAAAAUCUGUAAAGAAAAGUGCCACUAGUGACAUGAAUGCCAACAAACAAGAGUCGCUGACCAAACUUCCUCUUAAAGACAAGAUGAUCAGUAACAUGAACGAAUCCGUACAGACCAACAUGGAUAAGGGGAUAGCACUGUCUGCUCCGGAGGCCCCGGCGGAGUUUGCCCUGAAGUACAAGGCAGGUAUUGCACCACCACGUCCAAAGAGGAAAGUGUCCGAGUACCAGAAGUCGUUUGACUGGAAGGUGGGAGGCAAGUCAUCGCCUCUCCUAGCCGCUGAGCAGGUCGUGUACAACAGUAACCCCGCUGUGGCCCCAUUCAGGAAGGAUGUGGUUCCUAAGAAGAGUGAAUACGACAUGCAGUUCCAGAAUUGGAAGCUGUCCGAGGAUGCGCCUGUACAGGCGGCAGGCAAGUCGUCAAAGAAAAGGUCAAAGCCAAAGAGAAGCAAAAGUGUUGGAGUCCUGUCUCCAGACAAGAUGGCUGCUGCUGGGUCUGGUCCUAUCAUUACCUCGGACAACAAACGUCUUACGAAGGAGACUCCGGAUGUGGAGGUUCAGCGACCACCACCCAUCCCUUAUGGUCAGCUUAGGCGGUCGAGGAGUGAGUAUCGUAAUAACUUCAAGGCCCCCGGUAACUUUGAUUAUAUAAAGGGAGCAUGGAGAGGGGCCAACCCACCACACAUACAGGUGCCCGAGCCUGAAAAUGAGUCGACCAACGCAGCAGGCCCUUCACUAUCAAACUGGUUCGCAGAGGUGAUAGAGCUGAGAAGAAAAGCCCAGGAGUACCGUAAACGGGCCCAAGGGACCCACUUCUCACGGGAACAUGCCGUCCAGCUGAUGGCCCAACAGGCUGAUGCCUGGGACGUCCAGUCAUCUGCCCGUAGUGGACAUAGUACUCUGUCUGCCUUGUCCCUAGAAAUAGGGUCGGCAAGGAAUGGAGCGUCACGACGGGACUCUGCCAGAGCCACAAUGGCUUCAGAUGAGCAGGUCGAGGAACAGGACCUGGAUACGGAGGCUGAGGGGGCUAAAUUAGCUUGGCAGGAUGAGGACAGUGUUAUAGCACCCAGUACAAGUACAGUAGAGGAAACCAAUGGUGGACGGGUUCCAACCCCAAAAUGGCAGCAGAAAUCAACCGUCCGCACAGGCGCCCGUCACCACCUAGACCUGACUACACCAGCUGUGGGUGGGGCCAUCCUAACUUCACCCCCUCAGAAGAAACGCCCCAGGGGCAAGAGAGCUGUUUCUAAAUCUCAGCCUAUUGUUCUCCAAGAUUUAGAUGAGACACCAGUAGAACAGGUUGUUAGGAAGCCGAUAGCAGGGCAGACUUAUACCAAGCCAGUUGAUGUAAAUCGAGGACCGAUACAGCCGACGCCCACUUUUGGUAUGCCUUCUCGUGACACACAUUACUUAAGGGACGAUGAGGUUUCAUGUGACCUGCCACUUCAGACCAGCUAUGUACACAGUCCACUAAAGAAACAAGUAAAUAAGCAUUGGGACGUCAGUAUCCCUGCUACGAUAAAGGAAGGGUUCGGGUUAACCUACAACCAGCCCAUCAUGUCCUCUACUCAGGCUUGUGAUGUAGAUGAUGAUGUACUCUCCGUAUCUGCACGGUCCGUUGCCUCCAGCUGUUCGCUAGCUUCAGAGACACUGGAGCGUGCCAGGAAGCGUAAAGAGGAAUUCUGGGGAAAGCCAGGUGUUGCAGCUCACUGAGAAGACAUUUAGUUUCUAUAGCGACCGGUAGUACUAGACUCUGCUAUUUAUAACCUGACCAAGAAUCUCGACUUCUAUUUUCAUAUCUUUUAACUGUUUUACUACGUAUAGAAAGCUAAAGAUAGUUUUAUACAGACAUUUUAUACUUAAAUUGUAUGUACAUGUUAUUAUUAAAAAAAUCAUAUCAUGAUUCCGUCCAGAAAGUAACAUAUUUUAGAAAGAUUUAAUGUAUGCUUAAAUCCCAUCAGAUUUUAUUUCUUAGUCGGAAACUUCUCAACUUUUAACCUUAAUCUUUUAGGAAAUACAAUGUAGUUCAAAAUUAAUUAACAUUUCUUUUCAUUUAAUUUGGAUUUUGCUAUUUCAGUAAAUGAUAUAAAUCAUUUGACUGGGAUUUUAACUGUUAUAUGUCCAUUUUAGGUAAUAUGGUAGUCCCACCUAUGUAUAAACUGCUGAGCUAUAUAUGUAUAAUUUUAUUAUGUAAUUUGCUUACAUAUUAAGUAAAUUGGUUUGUUUUUGUGUAACCCUGGUAAAUACUAGCCACAAUAUACCGCUCGGCUAGAGAGAUCUUCUCUUUGGCCCGAUCGGUUGAGCAUAAGACAAGUAAGCCAGAGGUCCAGGGUUCAAUCCCUAGCGGAGGCAGUGAUUUAAAUUUAAUUAAUCAUGCGUUCUGUUACAUUUGUAUACUGUACAAAAAAGUACAUCACCUUGUUUUCUACAAAAAAUAUAUGCAUUGUAUUUUGUUUUCAGUGUAAACUGCAUAUUUUGUUUGUAGGUAAAAUAUUUGCUUGUACAAUGUACAUUGUAAUUUGAUCAAGCCUAUUUUAAGGAAAUUUAAUGCAGAAAUACCAGAUAUCAUUUUGCUUUAUUAUGUUUUUCCGCAAGAGUGAAAAGGAGAAUUUCAAGAGUGGGGAAAUCUCCUGUCAAAAAAUGUGUAUUAGAUUUCAUUUAAGAGAGUGAAUUUGUAUCUUUUAUAAAGUUUCGGUGUUUCCGGACAUUAAUGCUAGAACUGUAAAAAUUGGCGAAGUGAAGAAAAUGUUGUCUUGAAUCAUGCUUUCAAGAUCGUUGUUUGGACACUGUCUGACCUUUAUACUGGAGUAAUAGUCACUCUGACCAGGACUACAUCUUGUCUGGACACCAUCAGCUAUGGACACUGUCUAAUCAGGAAACUGUCUAAUCAGGACACUGCCUUAAUAGGACACUGAGUGUAGAACAAUGACAUUGUCUAUUUUAUUGUUUACCUAAGUAUUAGACCUAUAUAUAGGUCUGUUGUCUGUGAUAAUAGGUAGAGUUUUUGUUACCUGUUGGUAAAUUGUUGAUAUAAACGUUUAUUGAGAAAACAGAUAAAUGGUCUUAAAACUCUUCUCCAAAUUGUAGAUUGUUAGAUGAGUCUUGUUUCAUAUGUUAGUAUGCUAGAUACAUAUGGAAGUGAAAAUGUAUUCUUGAAAUAUUCUCUCUUUUAUUUAUUUGUAUAUUUUGAUGGAAAAGGUUUUAUUUUGAGAGAUUAAAAAUCAUGAUAAUAAUUGACAUUUAAA